rnacentral:tRNA from 1 species
GGGCCCGUAGCUCAGCUUGGACAGAGCAUUCGGCUUCGGACCGAAAGGUCUAGGGUUCAAAUCCCUACGGGCUCG